GACGAACCACACAAACGUUAUUCGGAAUCACUGGGCUUAAAGGGUGCGUAGGCGGCACGGAAAGUUGGGUGUGAAAUCCCUCGGCUCAACCGAGGAAUUGCGCUCAAAACUACCGUGCUUGAGGGAGACAGAGGUGAGCGGAACUUAGGGUGGAGCGGUGAAAUGCGUUGAUAUCCUAAGGAACGCCCGUGGCGAAAGCGGCUCACUGGGUCUUUUCUGACGCUGAGGCACGAAAGCUAGGGGAGCAAACGGG
rnacentral:rRNA from 1 species